rnacentral:rRNA from 1 species
AGACGGGACCCGCACAAGCGGUGGAUGAUGUGGAUUAAUUCGAUGCAACGCGAAAACCUUACCUACCCUUGACAUGUCCAGGAGUCUUGAGAGAUUGAGAUGUGCCGAAAGGGAACUGGAACACAGGUGCUGCAUGGCUGUCGUCAGCUCGUGUCGUGAGAUGUUGGGUUAAGUCCCGCAACGAGCGCAACCCUUGUCGUUAAUUGCCAUCAUUUAGUUGGGCACUUUAACGAGACUGCCGGUGACAAACCGGAGGAAGGUGGGGAUGACGUCAAGUCCUCAUGGCCCUUAUGGGUAGGGCUACACACGUGCUACAAUGGGCGGUACAAAGAGCAGCGAGCUCGCGAGAGUAAGCAAAUCUCAAAAAGCCGUCCUCAGUUCGGAUUGGAGUCUGCAACUCGACUCCACGAAGUUGGAAUCGCUAGUAAUCGCGGAUCAGCAUGCCGCGGUCGAAUACGUUCCCGGGCCUU